GAUGAACGCUAGCUACAGGCUUAACACAUGCAAGUCGAGGGGUAACGAGAGGAAAGCUUGCUUUCCUUGUCGACGACCGGCGCACGGGUGAGUAACGCGUAUCCAACCUGCCCCCAACUAGGGAAUAACCUUGCGAAAGUAAGACUAAUACCCUAUAAUUUCCUCAGAUGUCAUCUGACGAGGAAUAAAGAUUUAUCGGUUGUGGAUGGGGAUGCGUCUGAUUAGCUCGUUGGCGGGGUAACGGCCCACCAAGGCAACGAUCAGUAGGGGUUCUGAGAGGAAGGUCCCCCACAUUGGAACUGAGACAUGGUCCAAACUCCUACGGGAGGCAGCAGUGAGGAAUAUUGGUCAAUGGGCGGAAGCCUGAACCAGCCAAGUAGCGUGCAGGAUGACGGCCCUAUGGGUUGUAAACUGCUUUUAUACAGGAAUAAAGUUAGCCACGUGUGGUUAUUUGUAGGUACUGUAUGAAUAAGGACCGGCUAAUUCCGUGCCAGCCGCCGCGGUAA
rnacentral:rRNA from 1 species